rnacentral:rRNA from 1 species
GAUGAACGCUGGCGGCGUGCCUAAUACAUGCAAGUCGAGCGAACAGACGAGGAGCUUGCUCCUUUGACGUUAGCGGCGGACGGGUGAGUAACACGUGGGUAACCUACCUAUAAGACUGGGAUAACUUCGGGAAACCGGAGCUAAUACCGGAUAAUAUUUCGAACCGCAUGGUUCGAUAGUGAAAGAUGGCUUUGCUAUCACUUAUAGAUGGACCUGCGCCGUAUUAGCUAGUUGGUAAGGUAACGGCUUACCAAGGCAACGAUACGUAGCCGACCUGAGAGGGUGAUCGGCCACACUGGAACUGAGACGCGGUCCAGACUCCUACGGGAGGCAGCAGUAGGGAAUCUUGCGCAAUGGGCGAAAGCCUGACGGAGCAACGCCGCGUGAGUGAUGAAGGUCUUCGGAUCGUAAAACUCUGUUAUUAGGGAAGAACAAACGUGUAAGUAACUGUGCACGUCUUGACGGUACCUAAUCAGAAAGCCACGGCUAACUACGUG